rnacentral:rRNA from 1 species
UACAGAGGAUGCAAGCGUUAUCCGGAAUGAUUGGGCGUAAAGCGUCUGUAGGUGGCUUUUUAAGUCCGCCGUCAAAUCCCAGGGCUCAACUCUGGACAGGCGGUGGAAACUACCAAGCUGGAGUACGGUAGGGGCAGAGGGAAUUUCCGGUGGAGCGGUGAAAUGCGUAGAGAUCGGAAGGAACACCUGUGGCGAAGGCGGCCCCCUGGGCCGGCCCUGACACUGAGACGCGAAGGCGUGGGGAGCGAACGGG